UCUCCUGACCUCGUGAUCCGCCUGUCUCGGCCUCCCAAAGUGCUGGGAUUACAGGCUUGAGCCACCGCGCCCGGCCAAGUUCCUCAUGCUUAAUUAUCAGCGACCACAGCACAACACGUGGCCGAGGGUGGGUUGUAAAUUCUCACCUGGCCUAGAGGACGCAGCCAAGACUCCAGCACUUGGCCAUCUCUGUAGAGGCUUCGCGGGUCUGUAGACUGGUCAUGCUCAGUCUAACACGGCGUGGUUAUGAACGCCCGUUAUGAACGGUUCAUAACCAGUCAACGGUUAUGAACUGUGGAGGACUUCCCCAACCCCGCCGCACGCUCGAGGCGGAAGCGACACGGCGCCUGCGCGGCUUUGCUGGCGCGCCGCACGUGCACCGUGACCUGCGCAUGCGCUUUGGAAGCCUCGCGAGCUGGCGGCGGCGCUCAGGGUUUGCUGCAGGUACCUGCGGCCUUUGGGGGUUUCCUCGCAUCUUUUAGAUUUACUGAGCUAUUCCUCCCUGCAUUCAAUGUGUUUCUUCUACUGCUUUGGAAGUAAUUUAGUAUUGCUCUUCCUUCUGUGAUUACCUGAGAUGGGGUCUCUUCUAUUUUCCCACGAUGGUCUCCAGCUGCUGGUCUCAAGCAAUCCUUCUGCCUCAGCCUCCCAAGCUGCUGGUAUGACAGGUGUGAGCCACUGCACCCAGCCUAAUUGAUGCUCUUUGAAGGCUUUGUUGCUGAAGUUAUGUAUGCUGGCUAGCUUCAUAAAAACAGUAAGUUAAAUAGCAUUGAGUUUGUCUCUGGUCCUGUUCUGUGUUCCACUUUGAAAUGUAUCUCUCCAUUGUCCUCUCCUCCCAGCUCCCCUCAUGCUGAGCCAUGUCCCUGGAGAUGAGGGAACCUCAGGCCUUCUCUUCCCCACUUACAGAAUCUGACUCCUACCCCACAGUCUGUCAGGAGCAGCAAUUUGGACUCCAGAGUUUGGGGGAGGCAGGAGUUUCCUGGGUCCCUGGGCUUGGCUCUUCCCCAGUUCCAUUUCUGAGCCUCCUCCCAACAUGGUACUGCAGUCACGCCCCCCACUGCUCAGGUGUUGUCCUACUGAGUGUUUGCUUUAGCUGGUCUUCCUGGCCUGGUGUUGAUUCUUUUGACAGCUAUUCAUUGAGCACUUACCAUGUGCCAGGCAGUGGGAUGCUACAAUGUGUAAGACCAGAUUCCUUUUCUCAUGAAGCUCACAGUCCAUUGGGGUAGGGAGGCAGACCAUCAACAAAUACACUAUAUGGCAGCCAGGUGGUGAUCAGAGCGCAGUGGAGAAAAAGGAAGCUGUGUGUCCCCAGUAGGCUUCCGGCUUGUUUGGGCAUCUGCAGGUCAAGCCCACAUGGUCCUGUCAUCAUCCCCCAAGUUCUUGCUGGAGUACAGUGGCACGAUCUCAGCUCACUGCAGCCUCUGCCUCUCAGGUUCAAGCAAUUCUCUGCCUCAGCCUCCCAACUAGCUGGGA